GAUGAACGCUGGCGGCGUGCCUAAUACAUGCAAGUCGAGCGAACAGACGAGGAGCUUGCUCCUCUGACGUUAGCGGCGGACGGGUGAGUAACACGUGGAUAACCUACCUAUAAGACUGGGAUAACUUCGGGAAACCGGAGCUAAUACCGGAUAAUAUAUUGAACCGCAUGGUUCAAUAGUGAAAGACGGUUUUGCUGUCACUUAUAGAUGGAUCCGCGCCGCAUUAGCUAGUUGGUAAGGUAACGGCUUACCACGGCAACGAUGCGUAGCCGACCUGAGAGGGUGAUCGGCCACACUGGAACUGAGACACGGUCCAGACUCCUACGGGAGGCAGCAGUAGGGAAUCGUCCGCAAUGGGCGAAAGCCUGACGGAGCAACGCCGCGUGAGUGAUGAAGGUCUUCGGAUCGUAAAACUCUGUUAUUAGGGAAGAACAAAUGUGUAAGUAACUAUGCACGUCUUGACGGUACCUAAUCAGAAAGCCACGGCUAACUACGUG
rnacentral:rRNA from 1 species